rnacentral:rRNA from 1 species
GAUGAACGCUGGCGGCGUGCUUAACACAUGCAAGUCGAGCGGAGUUAAUAAACCGGAAGGAUUCGUCCUGAAAGUUUAUUAACUUAGCGGCGGACGGGUGAGUAACGUGUGGGCAACCUACCCUGUGCUGGGGAAUAAUCAUUGGAAACGGUGACUAAUACCGCAUGUCAUCACGAGAAGACAUCUUCUUGUGAGAAAAGGAUUAGCUUCGGCUAGUUCGGCACAGGAUGGGCCCGCAUCUGAUUAGCUAGUUGGUGAGAUAACAGCUCACCAAGGCAACGAUCAGUAGCCGACCUGAGAGGGUGAUCGGCCACAUUGGGACUGAGACACGGCCCAAACUCCUACGGGAGGCAGCAGUGGGGAAUAUUGCACAAUGGGCGAAAGCCUGAUGCAGCAACGCCGCGUGAAGGAUGAAGGUUUUCGGAUCGUAAACUUCUAUCAACAGGGACGAAAAAAAUGACGGUACCUGAAUAAGAAGCACCGGCUAAAUACGUGCCAGCAGCCGCGGUAAUAC